GCAAUCCCAACCCCUACCACUAGGGGGUGGCCUUGCCCUAUAUGCCUCAACCUAACAAUUACAGAUAAAAGAGUCCAAAAUCAGUUCCAUUCUGUAUAAUUCCGUCUUAACAGUGUGCAUGUGACAGCUAUGGCCCAGUCUGGGCUGAGCUGUGCUGAACUCUGUCCAAUUCCUCUAACAUGAGAUUUGGAUCUCAUGUUUUUCCUCUGUUUUCCCUGCCCAGAUCCUCAGCUUCUAUAAGCAAGCCCUAGAAUCAAAACAGAGAAGCAGGUCGGACUCAGGCAAACCUAACAAUUUCUACUUCCAAGCGGAACAAGGAACUUCUAGUCUAAACACCGUUCAGGAUUGA
rnacentral:lncRNA from 1 species